GACGAACGCUGGCGGCGUGCUUAACACAUGCAAGUCGAACGGAAAGGCCCUGCUUUUGUGGGGUGCUCGAGUGGCGAACGGGUGAGUAACACGUGAGUAACCUGCCCUUGACUUUGGGAUAACUUAAGGACACUGGGGCUAAUACCGGCUAGGAGCUCCUGCUGCAUGGUGGGGGUUGGAAAGUUUCGGCGGUUGGGGAUGGACUCGCGGCUUAUCAGCUUGUUGGUGGGGUAGUGGCUUACCAAGGCUUUGACGGGUAGCCGGCCUGAGAGGGUGGCCGGCCACAUUGGGACGGAGAUACGGCCCAGACUCCUACGGGAGGCAGCGGUGGGGAAUAUUGCACAAUGGGCGGAAGCCUGAUGCAGCAACGCCGCGUGCGGGAUGACAGCCUUCGGUUUGUAAACCGCUUUCGCCUGUGACGAAGCGUGAGUGACGGUAAUGGGUAAAGAAGCACCGGCUAACUACGUG
rnacentral:rRNA from 1 species